rnacentral:lncRNA from 1 species
AUAUUUUCCUGGAGGUUGCUCCCUUUGGAGUUUUUCUGUGAGCCUACAACAUGGAUUAGUUCUAUUAGGUGAUGAAUAUUCGAAGUCUUCCAUGUAACUGAGCAAUAAUGUUGAAUGACCAAAUAAAGAACUAGAUGUGACUUCUUGGUAUGGUCUGGAGCAAAAACAAUACAUAAAAAGGUUGUCUCAAGGAAAGCACAUGAAGAAACUGUCCCUCUGAGAAACCCCUCUUGGAAAAGUUUCUCUGCUUUUCCUUGUUAUGACAAAGUGGUUUCCAGGAUCAGUUGCUCCAACACCUUUGCAGAGACUGAUGUGCAGUGGACUGAACUGUAGAUCCCUGGAUCUUCCCUCUUGCCUUUGAAAUUAUAUUUGGUUUCUAUGAAGACAGAGCAGGAAUUAUGCUGGACCUGUAGGCCUUUAUGACCCAACCAAUGGAUUCUUCCAGAUUGUCAUCUUGAAUGAGUUUUAGGAACUACAUCGUGUCUCAGUGCUGCAUCUUCUGACAUACCACCAGUGCCUCAGUCCUGUCAGAGCUUCCUUCAGCUGCACGGUCAUUAGCUGUAAUCUCUUUUACUGACUCUUAUACUACUUUGCAAUGUCAUGUUUUACAUACCUCUUGCUGAAAAUACAUACAUAUAUUUUUAUAUGGAUUUGUUUAGCAGUUCUUGAAAGUUUUCACCCAUUGCUUUCUUUAUUUCUUUGCUAUUAAAGAAAUCUUUCUUUACUCAUUCUAGGCUUGCCCUAAACUUGUCUGCUGGCAUCUUCUUCAAGCACUUCUUCUCAUGCUCAUUUUCACUGCCUGCUUGCUUUUAUUACCCAUAGAAUUUUCACCUCUUCUUGUCUUUCUGGAGGUAUUUUGGAAAAACUGGCUUUUCCUUUCUUUUUUCUUCUUUAUUUCCCAUUCAGUUCUGCAUUUCUUUAUUCAGGUGGGUUGUGUUAAAACCAGAUAAUACUUUAACAGAGUUUGUGGUGUUAUCACAUGAAAAAAAAAAAAAAAGCUUAUAUAUAGAAACAAAGUCUUGUGGAGAAACAAAAUUUUAGCACCUAAAUAUCCUUCUUGAGGUUAGUUUGGAUUUUCCAUUGGUAUGUCUUGUCUGUUACUGUUCCGCUAGACUUUGAGGAUUUUUUCUUAUGUUUGAUAUUGGUUACUGUCAAUAUCUGCAGGCCUGAGCAAGUGAGGGGGCACGCAAGCAACCGUAAACUCAGCAUCUGCAACAUCACGUAAAACAUCUGACUCAGUGUCCAAAUUACAAGGGAAGCUGAUCAGCCAGUAGCAUAAUUUUGGCACAUUACUCUAUUAUUGCAGAUACCAUUUGGCAGCUGCCUCCAAUUGUGUUUACGAAAUAUGUUUCCAUUUUUGAUGCUUUCUAAGGGCUGUGUUUUAAAGGACAGUGUGUAGAAGGGACAGUGUUUAUGACUACACUUGCUGGGUUUUGCAGCUUCCUGCUCUGCCCUUCUUUUGUGUGAAAAAGGAACUAAUUUCAGCAAAAUCUAAGUAGGUAAAGGUACAAUUUCACUUCCUUAAAGCCCCAUAGCACAUGAGCAUGGCUUAGUUCAAUAUGUGUUUUCUCAACUAAAGUGCUUUAAAUUUAUAAAGCGUGAUAUUCUACUAUUCUUUUUGGGUUUGAGAAGAGACUUGUCAGCAUAUAAUUUUACAAGCUUUUCAUGUUCCACCUUUUCUCAUUUUUUUUCACAAGCUUAGAGUAAAGCAGGGCUUUUAGUGUUCCACUUUCUGCUACAGUAGCUGUUUUAACGAUAUUGCUACUUAAUUAUUUAAUAUUGUCAGUCUUUUCAUGAAUCGAUACUUUCUUGUCGUGUAUUAAAGGCAGUAUAACUC